ensembl:miRNA ocu-mir-505 ocu-mir-505
GGGGAGCCAGGAAGUAUUGAUGUUUCUGCCAGUUUAGCGUCAACACUUGCUGGUUUCCUCU